rnacentral:rRNA from 1 species
UACGUAGGUGGCAAGCGUUGUUCGGAAUUAUUGGGCGUAAAGGGCGCGUAGGCGGUCUUGUAAGUCAGCUGUGAAAGCCCGGGGCUCAACCCCGGAGGGUCGGCUGAUACUGCAGGACUGGAGUACGGAAGAGGUAGCUGGAAUUCCCGGUGUAGCGGUGAAAUGCGUAGAUAUCAGGAGGAACACCGGUGGCGAAGGCGGGUCUCUGGGCAGUAACUGACGCUGAGGAGCGAAAGCGUGGGGAGCGAACAGG